rnacentral:lncRNA from 1 species
AUUUGACAAAGGCAGCUGUGUCCAGGAGACAUGGCUAAGGAGGAUGGGUUUUCAGAGACAGAAAGUCCUUGCUUGCUUAGUAAAGAGAGCAGAGGGCUGGCUGUGUGGCAUCCCAGUGGGAAUCCAUGGGAGUUGGGUGUGGAGUCUGGAGCUGGGAACUCUGAUGACAUUACAAUUUUCCUGUUGUGGAUACUAUUUCCCAUCAUUAUCACGUGACCCUGAAACAUAGGUGUUCUCUGUUUCCAGCUCUGUCCAACUCAGUGGGAGCCAUGCUCCGAGGUUCAACUUUGCCCGCCCAAAUGAACUACUUUCUCCAUGGAAGAGUCCCGCAUGGAAUGUCAUCCUCGCCGGCCUUCUGAUUCUCGGGAUGGACGUCACCUUCUCGUCAUCCUCUGCUGCCCUGUGCGCGUAGCUGCCUCGGCCACCUCGUCUUCCCCUCCAUCCUCUUGCUCCCGCGUCUCCCUCACUGCAGGCCUCCUGCGCCCACCUUCCUCUGAGCGCUCCCACCGGCAGGUGCUUCCCUUCUGCUCUGCCUCCCGCACAACCUCCCUCUCCCCUAAGUGCGCCGUGGUCAUCUCCGAGCUGGUGCCCACGGCCGUGCCUGACACCGCGGGGCACGCGGAUUAAAGAGAAAGCGAGAGCUGGAGGGCUCUGGCCCUAAAGCUGCGGUGGCAGAGGCGGUUGGUGGCAAGGCGACCCGGGUCGGGACCCGGAAGGUGGCAGAGAUGGCUUUUCAGAGAGGCCAGUGGGGACGUCUUGCCACCUGAUGUAUGAUCGUGAGCAGAACGCAUGGCUGCUUGGAUAUCGUUUUCUGUAUUGUGAAAUGGGGAUACGAUAGUACCGGUCCAGUCCGCUCCACAGAGGUGAUGUUAAAUUAAGUCUGUGUGAAAGCACACUAAGAAAGAGUUAGGAACUGUACAAAGGCAAAUCUUUGCGUUAUGGAGUUGAAUGAAAUUAACCUGAUUUUUACCUGCCUGGAAUAGAUUUGCUGCUGCCUUUGGUUAAGGCGCACUUUACAGAUAGACUCUGGGAGGAGACCGGCUAGUCCCUAGAGAGUUAACAAAGGCCUGGGGACACACGCUAAGCCACGCAUGCGCAUGAGAUGCAUGAAAAGUACGUCUAUGGUCCACCGACUGCAACUGUUUUCCAAAGUCACAGAAAGAUUUUUAGGGUAAUUUCUCUCUCUCUCCCUCCCUCUCUUUUCUGUCAUUUCAUUUUUUGGGGACGUAUUUAUGACCUCGAGCAAGUUUCUUGAUCUUUCUGCACUUGUGUGUCCUUAUCAUCAGUAAAAUGGUAAGAAUGAUACUUAUCUCAGAUUGUUUAUCCAUUGAUUUAUUUCACAGAUCUGCUGAAUGCCUACUAUGUAGUGGGCAUUGUUUUAGUUGCUGAGAGUUCAGCGAUGAACAAAACAGACAACAGUCUCCAUCCACUUACAUUCUAGUGAUGGAUAAAAAUAGUAAAUAGGAAAAAGAAGUCGAAUACAGACUGUUAGAUUGCUUUAAGUGCUAAGGAGAAUAAAGCAGGAAAGGGAAAAUGACUAUUAGGAAUG